AUGAAGGAGCUUUUCAAGAUGGAUGAUCUUGGUAUUUUGAGUUACUGCCUCGGGAUGGAGGAACAUCAAAAUCCGGAGGGGAUCACACUAUGCCAGGAGGCAUAUGCAAGGAAGGUACUUGAAAGCCGUAGCAUGAAAGAUUGCAAUCGCAUUGUCGCUUCAAUGAAACCUCGUCUUGAGCUAAGAAAGAAGAAGAUGGUGAAUCUUCUCGGCUACAGUGGUAGUGACAAGGAAGGAAUUGUCGACGAUCGUAAGAGUUCCUCGGAAGUGACAUAUUUCCUUGGUGGAAGCAUAGUAAGCUGGUUAUCACAAAGACAGAAAGUGGUGACAUCGACUUCAAGUGAAGCAGAGUGUCAAGGUGUGUGGCUAGGAAGGCUACACGGUGAUCUCAACGUUGACAGUGAGUCUACGACUUUUCUACGCGAGGAUCCAGUGCGGCGUGAAAGGAGCAAGCAUGUAUCACUACAUAAAGGAUUGCGUGGAAGAAGGCAAAAUGAAGGUCAACUAUGGUUGCAUCGAUGA
rnacentral:rRNA from 1 species